GACGAACGCUGGCGGCGUGCUUAACACAUGCAAGUCGAACGAUGAAGCCGGAGCUUGCUCUGGUGAAUUAGUGGCGAACGGGUGAGUAACACGUGAGUAACCUGCCCUUGACUCUGGGAUAACUGCGGGAAACUGUAGCUAAUACCGGAUACGACCCUCGGAGGCAUCUCCUGGGGGUGGAAAGAAUUUCGGUCAAGGAUGGACUCGCGGCCUAUCAGCUAGUUGGUGAGGUAAAGGCUCACCAAGGCGACGACGGGUAGCCGGCCUGGGAGGGUGACAGGCCACACUGGGACUGAGACACGGCCCAGACUCCUACGGGAGGCAGCAGUGGGGAAUAUUGCACAAUGGGCGCAAGCCUGAUGCAGCGACGCCGCGUGAGGGAUGACGGCCUUCGGGUUGUAAACCUCUUUCAGCAUCGACGAAGCGAAAGUGACGGUAGGUGCAGAAGAAGGACCGGCCAACUACGUGCCAGCAGCCGCCGCAG
rnacentral:rRNA from 1 species